rnacentral:lncRNA from 7 species
AGAAAAAACCAUCAAAGGGGAAAGGAGCAGCCCCUGAGCUCCCAUCCCCGCAGGUGCAUCCUUUGCAGUGCAUGCCCAUGGGAUGUGCUCAUCCCUCAGCCUGGCAGCUUCCUCCAGGAGCCAGCACUGCUGCCGUGCCCAAAGCCGGAUGAGGAUUUCUUUGCCUUUAAUUGAAAGGUAGCAUCUUUCUGCAGAGGAAAUUCAGGGAGAACGACUGAGCAGGACAGGGUCCUAAGGAAAAGAUGGAGAAUCUCUGCUGCCUCCAGCGCACUCAAAUUUAGGCCUCCUCUCCCAGCAUGUGGAAAAGGCGUGGGCUUUGGGCCAGAGGAGGACCUGGGAUGUGAUGGCAGAAGGCAGAGCUUUUAGGGGAAGGAUGCUCUCUCAGCACAGCAAGUCACGGUGCUCAGAGCAGGACACCUUUCAGACACCUCCUGAUGGGAGCAAGGUGAGUGCUGCUGUGCUGCUCUGGCCAUGGCAGAAUUUGGCUCUUUGAUUCCUCCGAUCGUUUCCAGGGAUAUUAUCCAGCCAUUCUGGAAAACCUGACACUUGACAAACGACACUUCUGCAAGGUCAUCCUUAAACCUUUGAGGAACAGGGAGCUUUUUCAGCUGCCCCUGCCCUUCCCUGAAUGCCGGCAGCCAAGCCCAUAUGGAGCAUUGUGGGCUGAGCUCGUUGUUGAUGCAAAUGCAUACGACUAGUUUUGAUUAAAAGCAAAAUGCAGAAU